AGUGAACGCUGGCGGUAGGCCUAACACAUGCAAGUCGAACGGCAGCACAGUAAGAGCUUGCUCUUACGGGUGGCGAGUGGCGGACGGGUGAGGAAUACAUCGGAAUCUACUUUUUCGUGGGGGAUAACGUAGGGAAACUUACGCUAAUACCGCAUACGACCUACGGGUGAAAGCAGGUGAUCUUCGGACCUUGCGCGAUUGAAUGAGCCGAUGCCGGAUUAGCUAGUUGGCGGGGUAAAGGCCCACCAAGGCGACGAUCCGUAGCUGGUCUGAGAGGAUGAUAGGCCACACUGGAACUGAGACACGGUCCAGACUCCUACGGGAGGCAGCAGUGGAGAAUAUUGGACAAUGGGCGCAAGCCUGAUCCAGCCAUACCGCGUGGGUGAAGAAGGCCUUCGGGUUGUAAAGCCCUUUUGUUGGGAAAGAAAAGCAGCAGGUUAAUACCCCGCUGUUCUGACGGUACCCAAAGAAUAAGCACCGGCUAACUUCGUG
rnacentral:rRNA from 1 species